rfam:Mesorhizobium sp. 65-26 SCNpilot_cont_1000_bf_scaffold_611, whole genome shotgun sequence.
CUUCCUCGAUCUGCUGCGGGCAGAUGAAAUGGAUGUGCGCGUCGAAGCCGCCGGCGGUCAGGAUCCUGCCCUCGCCGGCGAUGAUCUCCGUGCCGGGGCCGAUGAUGAUGGUGACGCCGUCCUGCGUAUCGGGGUUGCCGGCCUUUCCGAUCGCCGCGAUGCGGCCAUCCCUGAGGCCGAUGUCGGCCUUGACGAUCCCGGUCAGCGCGUCGAUGACCAGCGCGUUGGUGAUGACGGUGUCGACCGCGCCCUGCGCCCGUGACACCUGGCUCUGGCCCAUGCCGUCGCGGAUG